rnacentral:rRNA from 1 species
CGAGUGCCCCAAGCGUUAUCCGGAAUUAUUGGGCGUAAAGGGUGUGUAGGUGGCGAUGUUAGUCUUCUGUCAAAUUCUUCGGCUUAACCGGGGGUCUGCAGGGGAAACGGCAUUGCUCGAGUGUGCAAGGGGUGAAUGGAACUCAUGGAGUAGGGGUGAAAUCCGUUGAUAUCAUGGGGAACACCAAAAGCGAAGGCAAUUCACUGGUGCAUUACUGACACUGAAACACGAAAGCGUGGGUAGCGAACGGGAUUAGAUACCCCGGUAGUCCACGCCCUAAACGUUCUUCACUAGCUUUCGGGGGAAUCAACCCCUUCGGAGGCGAAGCUAACGCGUUAAGUGAAGCGCCUGGGUAGUACGGCCGCAAGGCUA